UGGGGAAUAUUGCACAAUGGGCGAAAGCCUGAUGCAGCAACGCCGCGUGAGGGACGACGGCCUUCGGGUUGUAAACCUCUUUUAGCAAGGAAGAAGCGAAAGUGACGGUACUUGCAGAAAAAGCGCCGGCUAACUACGUGCCAGCAGCCGCGGUAAUACGUAGGGCGCAAGCGUUAUCCGGAAUUAUUGGGCGUAAAGAGCUCGUAGGCGGUUUGUCGCGUCUGCUGUGAAAACCCGAGGCUCGACCUCGGGCCUGCAGUGGGUACGGGCAGACUAGAGUGCGGUAGGGGAGAUUGGAACUCCUGGUGUAGCGGUGGAAUGCGCAGAUAUCAGGAAGAACACCGAUGGCGAAGGCAGAUCUCUGGGCCGUAACUGACGCUGAGGAGCGAAAGGGUGGGGAGCAAAACAGGCUUAGAUGNCCUGGUAGUCCACCCCGUAAACGUUGGGAACUAGUUGUGGGGUCCAUUCCACGGAUUCCGUGACGCAGCUAACGCAUUAAGUUCCCCGCCUGGGGAGCACGGCCGCAAGG
rnacentral:rRNA from 1 species